CAAUAGCGUAUACUAAUGUUGUUGCAGUUAAAAAGCUCGUAGUUGAACUUCUGGUAGGAGUGUCCCGGCCUUUUUGUUUUUACAAAUUGUAUGCUGUGUGACAUCUCUGGCCAUCCUUCUUCUUUGUUUAAAGAAGAUCUUUCACUGUAAAAAAAUUAGGGUGUUCAAAGCAAAAGUUUCUUUGGAAUAUAUUAGUAUGGGAUGAUAAGAUAGGCUCUAGAUGCUAUUUUGUUGGUUCGCACAUUUAGAGAAUGAUUAACAGGGACAGUUGGGGGUAUUCGUAUUUACAUGUCAGAGGUGAAAUUCUUGGAUUUUGGAAAGACGAACUACUGCGAAAGCAUUUACCAAGGAUGUUUUCAUUAA
rnacentral:rRNA from 1 species